UACGGAGGGGCCGAGCGUUAUCCGGAUUUAUUGGGCGUAAAGGGUGCGUAGGCGGCCUAUUAAGUCAGGGGUGAAAGACGGUAGCUUAACUAUCGCAGUGCCUUUGAUACUGAUAGGCUUGAAUGUACUUGAGGAAGGCGGAAUGUGACAAGUAGCGGUGAAAUGCAUAGAUAUGUCUCAGAACACCAAUUGCGAAGGCAGCUUACUAAAGUAUGAUUGACGCUGAGGCACGAAAGCGUGGGGAUCAAACAGG
rnacentral:rRNA from 1 species